UUAUUUUUGUGUGAAUUUUGUUACAUACAGAUGGCUCCACAUAUGCUCAGCGGCAAGGAGUCUGUCAGUAGGCCCUAGUUACCGAUCCUGAUUUCCCCACUCCUUGAAUUGGGGGAAUUGUGUUUUUCCUUUAAUACCAUUGAUAUCCUAGUUACCGAUCCUGAUUCCUCACUUCUUGAAUUGGGGGAAUUGUGUUUUUCCUUAAUACCAUUGAUAUCGAUACGUUAUUAUUGUUAUUGAUGUUAUGAUUAUGAAAUGUUAUUAAAAUCCUGGCAACAUUUAAGAGAAUGAAAUAAUGCAAAAAAACCUUUCUAAAGUGAAGGAAAAGGGUAAAUAGUCAGUAUGCAUACACCUUACUUGCAUCGGUGAUUAUUAUUGUGAUUCUGGAUCGCAUGGAAAACUGUGAAGCAUUGGGAAUAAAUUAAGGAAACCAUAAUCACAAUUUCUUUUAUUGAGACUAAAAAGAAAUGUUGAUCCUGCCUGGAAAAGAGGAUUUCCAGGACACUGGUUUAGAUGUCCAUGUGUUCUUUAUUGCCUAAAGGGUAAACAAGAAAGAUAUGCCGUUAUUAUGUGUAAGAUACAUACAAGACAAGUAUCCUCACAUUUAUCCUCUUGAAACUAAAAAUGAAAUGGAGUUUUAUC